CACUUUUCCACCUCAUCUUGACCAGCCACAUUUUCAUCCCUUCCAAUGUGAUUGCUGACGUCUUGAAUUAAAACAUGAAACUACGAUGUAUCGAAACAAGUUUCUAAUAGUUUGUUUCACAGUUAGUGUAAGCGUCAGGGCUCGAAUUUUAUCGCGGCAAUUGUCGUAGAGGGAGAACAAAAUGCCGUGGAUCACUGCGGCAACGACGGCAAUUUUUUGCCGUGUAGUGCAAUUUUUAUACUAUUCACUGUGCAUUACUACUUUGAUACUUGAAUUCAGAUGUUGAUCAAAUCAUGCGUAAAUCACUAUUUUAGUCUCAGUUUUCUU